GUUUAACUUCACAACCAGCUUUUCCAACACACUGUUGAUAUUUCUCUCUUUUAUAUGACAGAUGUGGUUUCACAGGGCAUGGAGAGGUUGCUUAAAUUCUGCAAAGGCCUUAGCCGCUAAACCAUCCCUCAAACCAGUAUCAGUCAACUUUUAAGAGCAUACAACCACUAUGCUAAGUGCUCUCCAACAAGCUAAUGAGAUACUGCAGUCCUAGCAAUCCAGCCUGAAACUGUUCUCCAUCUAAAAGCUCUAUCGGGGGCUGGAGAGAUGGCUUAGCGGUUAAGCGCUUGCCUGUGAAGCCUAAGGACCCCGGUUCGAGGCUCGGUUCCCCAGGUCCCACGUUAGCCAGAUGCACAA